UCCUUCACUCUCCGGGAGACAACAAAGGAGCUGGCUAUGUUAAUCAUCUGGAAGAAGGGGUUCCCAGUAAAAACAACAUAAAAUACAAAGAUGCAGCUUAACUUAUUUAAGAAAAAAAAAGAAGAAGAAGAGGGACACUGAAGAUAAAAGGAACUCCACAAAGCCCUGAGAAGUCAAUUAAAUUUAAAGAGUAAGUGGAAAUCCUAGAAAACAAGAUCCUGAAGAGUGAAAAGACUUGAGCAACAUGCAGGAUUAGUGAGAUCCUCGUGUCACAAAUCCCUCAAAGCUUCUUGACUGUUGAAGCCAACUAAGUCCCUUCGAAAACCUACUGCG